GUACAUGGCUCUAUUGAACGCUGGCGGCAUGCCUUUACCUGUUAUCRAACCGGUGUACGGUAGUUAUCCUGUCGGCGAGCGGCGAACGGGUGAGUAAUAUAUCGGAACGUGCCCAACCGGGGGGGAUAACGUAGCGAAAGUUACUCUAAUACCGUGUAC
rnacentral:rRNA from 1 species